CCUACGGGAGGCAGCAGUGGGGAAUAUUGCACAAUGGGGGAAACCCUGAUGCAGCGACGCCGCGUGAGCGAAGAAGUAUUUCGGUAUGUAAAGCUCUAUCAGCAGGGAAGAAAAUGACGGUACCUGACUAAGAAGCCCCGGCUAAAUACGUGCCAGCAGCCGCGGUAAUACGUAUGGGGCAAGCGUUAUCCGGAUUUACUGGGUGUAAAGGGAGCGCAGGCGGCUUGGCAAGUCUGAUGUGAAAGGCUGGGGCUCAACCCCAGGACUGCAUUGGAAACUGGCGGGCUAGAGAGCAGGAGAGGGCG
rnacentral:rRNA from 1 species